UUUGCGUUACAAGUGACUUAUCGCAUACAAGCAUCGUUAUCAACCGUGGAGAUAUCGUAAUUCUUUCCUGACGCAUUCACACGCAAGAAUAAAAAACAGGAUGUUUCUCGUCAACCUUGUACCCCUGCUUCUGGUGUUCGGUGUGUUGACUCAAUCUGGGGUUGAUGCAACUGAACAUCUUGAGGAAGAUCAGAGUGAUCUUCGAGAAGUGGUUGUGUCAUUGUUUGAUAAGUUUAUAAACGCAAGCCUCAGCGGUGACACGGAUGCGGUUGUGAGCCUUCACGACAAAGAUGCUAAGAUAUUAAUAGAUGGCUUUCCUCCGGUUAUUGGACUUGACGAGAUACGCACUCUGGUGGAGCUCCUACCCGAAAGAGCCGCUGAAGAAAAGUUUACCAUCAAAGAGUUGUGGCCAAUGGAUAAAGACGAAAACUAUUUGUACAUCCGUUAUCACUUUGAUUAUUUCAACAAGUCCGGUGAGAACUACCUCGAUGCGAGUGCAUUGGCAGUCUUCAAGAAGUCUGACGACCAGUACAAGAUUCACAUAGUGAUGUUCAACACUCACAACCAAGCAAUAUAAUAAGACGUCAUGUGAACCACUCCCUUCACGGUUAUCACUUUAUGUUCGUCACGAUCGUCACUGACUCUACCCCCACAAAACAGUCUAGAAUACUGUGACAGUUAUUUGUCAUAGUCAAUAUUUAAUGUAAUUUUCUUAGUGCAAUUGUCAACGUGUUAUCUUUAAUACUCUUAAUUUCUUCAACCAAUUCCGUGGGUAACAUUGCAUUGCUUUAAUGUGUCAAUCUGUCACAGUGUUUCAUGCAAGAUGGGCUAAGAUUCAUAGAGCUGUUUAAGCAUUGACUAGUUACUAAGCAAAACACAAUUAUGCUUACCAUAAUAAGGUUACCAGCCAAACUAUACCAUGUCACAAGUACAUUUUAUGACUGGUAUCCUGCUGAUUUCUGUUUAGCAGUUGAUUUUUUAAGCAAUAUUUUCUGCUUGACCAGCUCUGUAAAAUUGGACCCUGCCCAAAAAACUCGGUAUCUUGCGGCAGAAACAAGUUAAUAAAAAAACCAUGUCGUACAAAAAGAGGUUUCUUGUUAUUUCAUACGAGUUCUAGUGUAAAAGACAAUUAUUAUACAACUAAUGAGGAGCUUAUGUUGAAUGUUGGGGAUAAGAUGCGCUAAUGGUUACAAUAUUAACCCGUCGUUUAUGCGGGUUUUGUUUAAUUAUAAUAGAAAGAGAGAAUUGCCAAUCAGUUCACGGUAAUUUAUUAUUACUUUAUAAAAUUUAAUUGACGGUUGAAAAUCUGUAUAAAUAUUUUGAGUAGAGCCGUUUAGCGUUAGAAGCGACUUCUCGCAUACAAGCAUCAGCAUCAAUCGUGGGAGGUAUCGCAAUUAUUUCCUGACGCAAGAAGAGUACUGCAGUAUACUGAUUUGCGCUGUAGAAGUAUUUCUUCUUCUUAUUAUUAUUAUUGAGAAUCAAAAUUAGUAUGUUUCUCGUCAACCUUGUACCCCUGCUUCUGGUGUUCGGUGUGUUAACUCAAUCUGGGGUUGAUGCAACUGAACAUCUUGAGGAAGACCAGAGUGAUCUUCGAGAAGCGGUUGCGUCCUUGUUCGAUGAGUAUAUUAGCGCUAGCCUCAGCGGUAACACGGAUGCAGUGGUGAGCCUACACGACAAAGAUGCCAAAAUAUUGGUCGAAGGUUUUCCUCCGGCUACUGGACUUGAGGAGAUACGGACUCUGGUGGAGCUCCUACCCGAAAGAGCCGCUAAAAUGAAGUGGACCGUAAAAGAGGUGUGGCCGAUGGAUAAAGACGAAAACUAUGUAUACGUCCGAUUUUACUUCGAAAAUAUCAACAAGUCCGGAGAAAAAUACCUUGAUGGGACUGCAUUGACCGUCCUCAAGAAGUCUGAAGACCAGUACAAGUUUUACUUAGUGAUGUUCAACACUCAUAACCAAGCAACCUAAUAUGACGCUAUGUGCACCACACCCUACACGGUUAUGUUCGUCGAGACCGUCUCUGCAUCUGAAAGCACUUUUAAAAAGUUCUGUACAAACCUUACAAGAAGUGGGACUCGGUGCGACAUCGUUUUGCUUCUGGUCAAGACUGCAAGUUCAUAUCAUACCCCGGCUCGUAUUAGCUUGAUCGAUGUAUGGCGGACACUUUAUGAGUGCACUGUUUUUGGUUUGGGUGUAUGCAGACAAAUUUAACCCAAACCUAAUAGUGACCUAAUAAUGUGUUCACCAUAACUUAAAAUGGCUUAAUCACUGCCCAUCAAAUGCACAUAAAGAACACUUCAUUUGAUGUUUUUACUACUUUACGAAGCGCACCUGCGUUCUCAUUAUAUCCCGCUUUGGUUGUCGUUCUAAAAUCGUCCGAACCUUCAACAACAUCUUUGUUUCUAAUUUGUACAAAUGCAAUAAACAUUCAACCAAGAUCAUCAAAGCUUGUUUCCUCGUCCAUUAAUACAGUGACAAACAACAUCCUAAUGGUCACAUCGGGUUACAAUAUAGUAGUUGGAAACUGAAGGAAAAAAAAUCAAAUAUAUUUAUUUUUACAGGAUUUAUUUACAGAUUGAUCAUUCAAGAUAUUUUAACGAUAUAAAUUUUGAAAAUAGCCAAGCCGGUUGACUAAAUAAUAUUUCUGCCGGGCCAAUUUUGGAAGAAAAAAAACCUCCUUCGUCACCUUUUUUUUAGAAAAAAGGAAGACGUCAGACAUGUUUUUGUUAUUUG